rnacentral:rRNA from 1 species
AGUGAACGCUGGCGGUAGGCCUAACACAUGCAAGUCGAACGGCAGCACAGUAAGAGCUUGCUCUUACGGGUGGCGAGUGGCGGACGGGUGAGGAAUACAUCGGAAUCUACUUUUUCGUGGGGGAUAACGUAGGGAAACUUACGCUAAUACCGCAUACGACCUACGGGUGAAAGCAGGGGAUCUUCGGACCUUGCGCGAUUGAAUGAGCCGAUGUUGGAUUAGCUAGUUGGCGGGGUAAAGGCCCACCAAGGCGACGAUCCGUAGCUGGUCUGAGUGGAUGGUCGGCCACACGGGAACUGGGACACGGACCAGACGCCUACGGGAGGCAGCAGAGGGGAAUAUUGGACAAUGGGGGCAAGCCUGAUCCAGCCAUACCGCGUGGGUGAAGAAGGCCUUCGGGUUGUAAAGCCCUUUUGUUGGGAAAGAAAAGCAGCAGGUUAAUACCCCGCUGUUCUGACGGUACCCAAAGAAUAAGCACCGGCUAACUUCGUG